CGGGUGAGUAACACGUGGGCAACCUGCCCAAAAGAGGGGGAUAACACUUGGAAACAGGUGCUAAUACCGCAUAACCAUAGUUACCGCAUGGUAACUAUGUAAAAGGUGGCUAUGCUACCGCUUUUGGAUGGGCCCGCGGCGCAUUAGCUAGUUGGUGGGGCAAAGGCUUACCAAGGCAAUGAUGCGUAGCCGAACUGAGAGGUUGAUCGGCCACAUUGGGACUGAGACACGGCCCAAACUCCUACGGAAGGCAGCAG
rnacentral:rRNA from 1 species